rnacentral:lncRNA from 1 species
AAGAUUGUAUUUCAUCUCAUUUCUAAUAUAGGCUCACAGAAUCAUUUCGUCUAUGAUAAUACACGACUAAAUGUAAGUAAAUUCUACAACUGCGGAGUCACUAACUGUUUGAUAUACAUAACCUUUUAUACAUGCAGUUACAUAGUGAAAUAAUUAUGGAACUAAGGAAAAUUUCUUUGGUGCCUUGCGUCGAAGAAACGUAACCUAAAUCGAACUAAAGAGGAACUUACUUCCUGAAAAAAUGAAACAAGACAUGUGAGUUUUUCCUAAAGUGAUAAUUAUUGCACAACACAUACAGUCACACAAAUGUGUAAACAUAUCAAUCUAGUCAUCCGACUAGUUAUAUGCUCACGCAGCCAGUCACACAAUGGCACAUCACCAGCACUCACAAUCAUUAACAUCUU